AGCGAACGCUGGCGGCAGGCCUAACACAUGCAAGUCGAACGAAGCCUUCGGGCUUAGUGGCGGACGGGUGAGUAACACGUGGGAACGUACCUUUUGGUUCGGAACAACUCAGGGAAACUUGAGCUAAUACCGGAUGAGCCCUUAGGGGGAAAGAUUUAUCGCCGAAAGAGCGGCCCGCGUUAGAUUGGCUAGUUGGUGAGGUAAAGGCUCACCAAGGCUACGAUCUAUAGCUGGUCUGAGAGGAUGAUCAGCCACACUGGGACUGAGACACGGCCCAGACUCCUACGGGAGGCAGCAGUGGGGAAUCUUGCGCAAUGGGCGAAAGCCUGACGCAGCCAUGCCGCGUGAAUGAUGAAGGUCUUAGGAUUGUAAAAUUCUUUUACCAGGGGCGAUAAUGACGGUACCUGAGAAAAAGCCCCGGCUAACUUCGUGCCAGCCGCCGCCGUAAGAC
rnacentral:rRNA from 1 species